ACAUCAUCUAUGUAUUCUCUCAUCAGGUAGGAGAAACUCUCCUUAUCAGCCUGAUAUCUGCUACGUUCUGUAUUACAGCUCUGGAAUAUUACACUAAUUUUUUGCUCACGACAGAGUGCUAUGAGCAUGCUCCAUCUCUGUCACAGGAUGCCUUCUCACUGGCGAACUCUCUUGAGGUAUCCAAACGCCU